GCUUAGACCAAGGACAUGCGGGAGGAAGGGAGUGGUUCCGUGAGACGAUGGGAGCUCUGGGUGAGGCCUGCAGAAGUGCUAGAGCCAGUGGGGCAGGGGGGGCCCGGACCCCUCCUCCCGAUGAAGGCAGGGUCCCGGCUGUGAGCAGAGGAAGGGUUGGCUGGGCCAGAGUGCUGGGAAGUUCCCCGGAGGUCAAGCCACCGAGAAACCCGGGGGUAGGAUGGUCCGUCACGUGGGUCCCGGAGAAUAAAGCAGGAGGAGGGAGGGAGUCCUCGAAAUGAGACGGCCAGGGACGGCCAGCAGCUGAUAGGCUGGGUUUUGAGCAGGGAGGAAGAGGAACGCCUUUGAUGCCCAGGGCAUGCUGCCCCCUGCAGGAUGCUGCAGCCUGCGGGGUGUACAAGAGAGAGAACAUCCUGGAGAGAGGGCACCGGGCGAGGUGGGCAGUGCGGCAGAGCCAGGAGACCAUGCCCAGGAGAGAAUGGAACUCUGCUGGACAUCCCAGAGCCCUCUUCAAGGCAGAGAGCCCAUUGGCAGGCCCCACGGUAAGUUCAGAAGAGGGCAUAGGAGUUCCCUCAUGGCUCAGUGGGUUAAGGAUCUGGCAUUGUCACUGCUGUGGCUCUGGUUACAGUUGUGGCUUGGGUUCUGUCUCCGGCCCAGGAACUUCUGCAUGCCGUGGGAGAAGGAGAAAGAGAAAAAGGAGAAGGAGAAGAAGGCAUAAA
rnacentral:lncRNA from 9 species